rnacentral:rRNA from 1 species
GAGUUUGAUUCUGGCUCAGGAUGAACGCUGACAGAAUGCUUAACACAUGCAAGUCGACUCGAGUCUUCGGACUUGGGUGGCGCACGGGUGAGUAACGCGUAAAGAACUUGCCUCUUAGACCGGGACAACAUCUGGAAACGGAUGCUAAUACCGGAUAUUAUGGUUUUUUCGCAUGGAGGAAUCAUGAAAGCUAGAUGCGCUAAGAGAGAGCUUUGCGUCCCAUUAGCUAGUUGGUGAGGUAACGGCCCACCAAGGCAAUGAUGGGUAGCCGGCCUGAGAGGGUGAACGGCCACAAGGGGACUGAGACACGGCCCUUACUCCUACGGGAGGCAGCAGUGGGGAAUAUUGGACAAUGGACCGCAAGUCUGAUCCAGCAAUUCUGUGUGCACGAUGACGUUUUUCGGAAUGUAAAGUGCUUUCAGUCGGGAAGAAGUCGGGACG